GAGUAAUGUCUGGGAAACUGCCUGAUGGAGGGGGAUAACUACUGGAAACGGUGGCUAAUACCGCAUAACGUCGCAAGACCAAAGAGGGGGACCUUCGGGCCUCUUGCCAUCAGAUGUGCCCAGAUGGGAUUAGCUUGUUGGUGAGGUAACGGCUCACCAAGGCGACGAUCCCUAGCUGGUCUGAGAGGAUGACCAGCCACACUGGAACUGAGACACGGUCCAGACUCCUACGGGAGGCAGCAGUGGGGAAUAUUGCACAAUGGGCGCAAGCCUGAUGCAGCCAUGCCGCGUGUAUGAAGAAGGCCUUCGGGUUGUAAAGUACUUUCAGCGGGGAGGAAGGUGUUGUGGUUAAUAACCGCAGCAAUUGACGUUACCCGCAGAAGAAGCACCGGCUAACUCCGUGCCAGCAGCCGCGGUAAUACGGAGGGUGCAAGCGUUAAUCGGAAUUACUGGGCGUAAAGCGCACGCAGGCGGUCUGUCAAGUCGGAUGUGAAAUCCCCGGGCUCAACCUGGGAACUGCAUUCGAAACUGGCAGGCUUGAGUCUUGUAGAGGGGGGUAGAAUUCCAGGUGUAGCGGUGAAAUGCGUAGAGAUCUGGAGGAAUACCGGUGGCGAAGGCGGCCCCCUGGACAAAGACUGACGCUCAGGUGCGAAAGCGUGGGGAGCAAACAGGAUUAGAUACCCUGGUAGUCCACGCCGUAAACGAUGUCUACUUGGAGGUUGUGCCCUUGAGGCGUGGCUUCCGGAGCUAACGCGUUAAGUAGACCGCCUGGGGAGUACGGCCGCAAGGUUAAAACUCAAAUGAAUUGACGGGGGCCCGCACAAGCGGUGGAGCAUGUGGUUUAAUUCGAUGCAACGCGAAGAACCUUACCUGGUCUUGACAUCCACAGAAGAAUCCAGAGAUGGAUUGGUGCCUUCGGGAACUGUGAGACAGGUGCUGCAUGGCUGUCGUCAGCUCGUGUUGUGAAAUGUUGGGUUAAGUCCCGCAACGAGCGCAAC
rnacentral:rRNA from 6 species